GAAGAUUUAGUUAAUUCAUAACAUUAGUAUGUCAAUCUAAAAUUAUUAUAUAAUAAUAAUCUUCU
rnacentral:tRNA from 1 species